AUAUUUUCAAUUAAUAUUAUAUAAUUAACAUUGAUAUAAUUAAUAUUUUUUUCAUAUCACAUAACCCAGCACAUUUGCACCACUUGUGUCAACAAGAAGUUCCAGUAGGUAUUGUUUAACAUCUUAAUCAUAACGCUCUUUCUUUCAUUGUGCUCUACAGAACCAUGAUUUAGAAUAUGUUUAAGGAGGAAAAGAUUGUCUCUUCAGAGGUAUAUUUUGUGGUGGUGUUGUGAGGAAGAGUUGCUGGUAGUUGGUUUAACUCAGUUGUGGCAAAGACGGAAAAAUAAAGUGGUAGUUCUUCAGCUUUGACACAAGAAAAAGAUUUGUAUUUGCUAUGUAGUAUUCAUUUUGUAAACGUAAAAGUGUUCCAGAGUUGGAAAAAGAGAUGAUGCGUAAAAUGUCCAAAUUUAAAGCUCAAACAAAAAACAAGAAAUUGAUACCCCUUGCCUUUUAGCUCUUCGAUUUGCUCUACAAGGCUCUCUGUAUUUUUUCCUUUAUAGUGCUUGGGUCUUUGUUCUUA